UAUAAUCACAGUUCAAAAUUGAUAUUGGUCUAAAACUUUCGCAAUGCUCCCUGUCUUUACCCUCCUUAUGAAUGACAGUAAUUACAGCCUCUCUCCAUGAUGGUGGCAGUGUACCAUUCUUCAGAGUUUGAUUAAAGGAUGCAAGUAACAUUGGAUAUAGCUCUUUCUUAAAAAGUCCUAUACCAUUCAAUAGGAUAUCCAUCUGUUCCUGGAGUUUUGUUUGAGUUCAUUCUUUUUAUUGACUAUUCUAGUUCUUUCUCUGUAAUCUGUGCACAUAAUAUUGAGUUUUGUUCUUCUCCUAUAUUUGGGAGGUCUAAUGUAUUUAAAAAUGUUUUAAUUGUUUCAUCUUCUGCUGAUUCAGGUUGAGAGUACAGGUUUGAAUAAUAGUCUUCAAAUGCCUUUUCAAUUUCCUCUGGUUUACACAUUAAUGUUUUGUGUACAGGGUCUCUGAUUUUAUUUAUAGUAUUUAGUUGUUGUUUGUUUCUUAAUCGCCUGGCAAGAGAUUUAGUUAAUUUUGGGCCUCCUUCAUAGUAUGUUUGCUUUAAAAAUCUAAUUUUCUUUUCUACUUCUUCUGAUAAUAUUUUAUCUAUUUUUUCUCUCAUUUCU